rnacentral:rRNA from 1 species
CCCUUAGAUGUUUUGGGCUGCACGCGCGCUACACUGAAGCUAUCAACACGUUUUCCCUCCCUGAGAAGGGCGGGUAACCUUUUGAAUCAGCUUCGUGGUAGGGAUCGGGGCUUGCAAUUGUUCCCCGUGAACCAGGAAUUCCUAGUAGACGCGAGUCAUAAGCUCGCAUCGAUUAAGUCCCUGCCCUUUGUACACACCGCCCGUCGCUACUACCGAUUGAACGUUUUAGUGAGGCAUUUGGACCGACGCAUCUCAGUUUAACCGCUGGUUUGUGUUGGAAAGACUUCCAAACUUGAGCGUUUAGAGGAAGUAAAAGUCGUAACA